CGGAGAGGGGCUGGACUGCAAGCCCCGGGGCGGCCCGAGGCGGCCCAGGUCCAGCUCCUGCCCCACGCCCUCCGUGCGUCCUGGAGUCAGGUGGGCACCCCUUUCAGUCUUCCGAGCCCAGCCUACGAGCCCUUGCCUCGCCCAGCCUGAGACCCAGUUGCUGCGGCUGCUCUUAGCUCCCCGGGGGCCGCACUCGCCACCACACCUCUCCAGCCCAGCGUCACUUUCCCGCUGCCCUUGGCUGGCUUGGCCGUCACCCCGGGUCGAGGACUGAGCCAGCCUGGAAAGCUGGCGGGGCCGCGGCGCGCCCGGGACCUGAGCUCCCUCGGUAAGGGGAGCUGUGUCCUCUUGAUGCCAAGUCAUGUUUGGGGACCGGUCACCGAAUGCGCGUCAAAGUUCGCCGCGUGGAGGGUGAAGAAAGAGGCUGCGCCUCAAGACUUCCAGAAACGUAUCCUGUGAUUGCAGCCAGCAGGCUUUCUGCCGAGUCCAAACGCUAUCGAGUUUUUUUGGGUUUGGAGUCAAAAGGAGUUAAGGUGCGGCCCGUGAACCACGCGGUGUAGGUGGAAAUUUUGGACUCAGCGCCUCGUUGCUGGCUGGUGUCUGAGCGGGUGAAUCGUGCCUCCCUGGCAGUAUAGACAUUACCCUCCUUCUUGAGUAGACUUUUGCCGCUCCCCGACUAUGGACCGAGUCGUUGGGAUAAGAAUGGAGGAAAAUCAAAGAUCAGAGUUUGCUUAAAAUGCAGUAGGGGAGCCAGGACUCCCACACGAUUCCCAGUCACCUAGAGGCUCACAUCUAUGCCCAAGAGUCCAGACUCCCAACUGGGUCAUCACAGAGGCUUCCUACAGGAGGCCGUGCUUGAUGGGACUCAAAGAUCCACAGCUUUAAGGAUCAGAGUUGUGUAGAGAGGGUAUUCAACGGGUGGCCAACUGGUAGAAUCUUGUCUGAUACCAACCCCGAGGCUGCUCUAGGCUUCUUUUUCAUGAGUCAAACUUGAUCUCUGACUAGGUGCUGGUCAGUCACUCAAUCUAUCCAGGCCUCAGUUUCCUCAUUUGUAAAAUGAGAUUGGACCAGAUGGUCUCUUCCAGCACUUAUAUUCUGAAGCUAACGACAGAACAAAGGUACCGAUGCAAGAGAACAUAGGGCCUGUUGGUGACACUGGUUGAUCUAAGACAUUUAGACUUGUUUUUGGUAGCACCUGCAAACCGUUGACAAUUUAGGACCGAGCAUGAGCAUGAUCAAGGUUGUGUUUUAGGGAAAAUAAUAGGGAGAUAGUCUAGAGAGGAUAAAACUGAAGAUGGGAGAAUCACUUGAGAGGCUGGGACAGCGACAUACGGAGGAGUUGCCAGGGGAAGUAAAAAGGAGGAAAUUCAAGGGACACCACAGAAGAGAGAUAGGGCACGAAGUGGCCACAACCUGCAACUGACUGGGAGAGGGGAGCAAUGGAAGGUGAGCCAGGUUCUCAAGACUGGGUUAUGGCAUGCAAGGAGCAGCAGACUCCAAAGGAGGGAAGCCGUUUAGGAAGACUCUGCCCCUAUCUGGAUAAAUGCCAGCAAACCUAGGAAUCAAGAGGGGAUUCCAGACUAAAGGGGGCACCCCCUCCUUGCAGAUCCACUACCAAGUGCUCAACCUGUCCAAGAAAAUGUUACAUAGAAGAGACUAAACAAGGACGCAUCCAAUCUACACCUGUACCUAGAUCUGAUCAAUACCAUUCUGAUGUCUGCAUUUAUUUACUUGUUUAUUUAUUUAUAGAGACAGGGUUGGGUUUCACUAUGUUGCCCAGGCUUGUCUUGAACUCCCCAGUUCAAGCGGUCCACCUGCCUCAGCCCCCCAAGGUGCUGGGAUUACAGUCAUGAGCCACCACCUGUACUAAAAAUACAAAAAUUAGCCAAGCAUGGUGGCGGGCGCCUGUGGUCCCAGCUACUCAAGAGGCUGAAGCAGGAGAAUCAAUUGAACCUGGGAGACUGAGGUGGCAGGCAGUGAGCCGAGACUGUGCCACUGCGCUUCAGCCUGGGCAACAGAGCGAGGCUCUGUCUCAAAAUAAAAUAAUAUUCUUUCAUUCAACAAAGAUUUGAGUGUGAGUGCCUACUGUGUGUCAGGCAGUUUUCUAGUUGCUUGGGUACAUCUAUGAGCCAAUCAAAUAUCUUUUUUUUUUUUUUUUUUUAGACAGAGGCUCGCUCUGUUGCACAGGCUGGAGUGCAGUGGUGUGAUCUCGGCUCACUGCAACCUCCACCUCCUGGGUUCCAGCAAUUCUCCUGCCGCAGCCUCCCGAGUAGCUGGGGUUACAGGCACAGCCACCAGGCCAGGCUAAUUUUUGUAUUUUUAGUAGAGACAGGUUUCACCAUGUUGGUCAGGCUGGUCGUGAAC
rnacentral:lncRNA from 10 species